UGACUAAUUUAAUGAGACCAUAUUUGAGUGUAACGUCAAAAAGAUUCAAAUAUAGGAGAGGAAUUUAGAAAUAGAAAAAGAGUAUUUUGAAUGUGUAAUUUGUGUGCAAUGCAUCAUUGAUGUUUCAAAAUGUUGUUGCUUGAUGGCCUGGGUCUACUCAUGAUACAACUAUAAUUAACCAUUCCGAUUGAAAAGGUGUUUAUAUGAAUUUAAUAUGACACUAUUAUAAUAAAUUAUCUACAUAUCAAGAGAACAUUGAUAACAAGGUGGACUUGGAAAUUGCUAUUUGCUUGCCGAUAGAGGCUAUCCCCACAACCCUAUCUUUUAACGUGAUUAA